rnacentral:lncRNA from 1 species
CUCCGCCAUCUUGGAAUACCACUCUACAUAUUUGUACCAAACACACACAAAAAAAAAUAAAAAAUAAAAACAGAAGUACAAUAUAUAGUCAUAUAUGUUUCAUUGUUUGACUUUAAGAUAUACAAUGCAUUGGAGUACAUGUCUUAGACCAAGUAUGGCUCCAUGUAUCGCCACAUCUUGAUCGGUUGGAUCUGACCAAGAAAAUAGAUAAAC